GAUGAACGCUGGCGGCGUGCCUAAUACAUGCAAGUCGAGCGAAUGGAUUAAGAGCUUGCUCUUAUGAAGUUAGCGGCGGACGGGUGAGUAACACGUGGGUAACCUGCCCAUAAGACUGGGAUAACUCCGGGAGACCGGGGCUAAUACCGGAUAACAUUUUGAACCGCAUGGUUCGAAAUUGAAAGGCGGCUUCGGCUGUCACUUAUGGAUGGACCCGCGUCGCAUUAGCUAGUUGGUGAGGUAACGGCUCACCAAGGCAACGAUGCGUAGCCGACCUGGGAGGGUGAUCGGCCACACUGGGACUGGGACACGGCCCAGACUCCUACGGGAGGCAGCAGUAGGGAAUCUUCCGCAAUGGACGAAAGUCUGACGGAGCAACGCCGCGUGAGUGAUGAAGGCUUUCGGGUCGUAAAACUCUGUUGUUAGGGAAGAACAAGUGCUAGUUGAAUAAGCUGGCACCUUGACGGUACCUAACCAGAAAGCCACGGCUAACUACGUGCCAGCCGCCGCGGUAA
rnacentral:rRNA from 1 species